rnacentral:rRNA from 1 species
UACAGAGGGUGCGAGCGUUGUUCGGAAUUACUGGGCGUAAAGCGCGCGCAGGCGGCCCUUUAAGUCUACCCGUGAAAUGCCGGAGCUCAACUCCGCGCACGCCGGGGGAUACUGGGGGGCUGGAGACAUGUAGAGGCAAGCGGAAUUCCGGGUGUAGCGGUGGAAUGCGUAGAGAUCGGGAGGAACAUCAGUUGCGAAGGCGGCUCUCUGGACCAGCACUGACACUGAGGCACGAAAGCGUGGGGAGCAAACAGG